GCAGGGAUAGCAAAGUAUGGCCAAAUGCGGUGGGUUUAGGGCCCAUUCCCGUAGGGGUUCGUGAGUUCAAAUCUCACUCCCUGCA
rnacentral:tRNA from 2 species